GGGAUAGCUUAGUUGGUAGAGCAUGAGAUGCUUAAUCACAGGUUCAUGGGUUCAAGCCCCACGCUGGCCA